rnacentral:rRNA from 1 species
UACGUAGGGACCAAGCGUUGUUCGGAUUUACUGGGCGUAAAGGGCGCGUAGGCGGUAUGACAAGUCACUUGUGAAAUCUCCGGCUUAACUCGGAACGGCCAAGUGAAACUGUCAAACUAGAGUGCGGAAGGGCAAUCGGAAUUCUUGGUGUAGGCGGUGAAAUGCGUAGAUAUCAAGAGGAACACCUGAGGUGAAGACGGGUGCUGGCCGACACUGACGCUGAUGCGCGAAAGCCAGGGGAGGCAAAACGGG